rnacentral:rRNA from 1 species
CCCUUAGAUGUUCUGGGCCGCACGCGCGCUACACUGACACGUUCAUCAAGUCUAUAACCUUGACCGAGAGGUCUGGGUAAUCUUUUAAAAACGUGUCGUGCUGGGGAUAGAUUAUUGCAAUUAUUAAUCUUCAACGAGGAAUUCCUAGUAAACGCAAGUCAUCAACUUGCAUUGAUUACGUCCCUGCCCUUUGUACACACCGCCCGUCGCUACUACCGAUUGAAUGAUUUAGUGAGUACCAGGGACCGAGCGCUUUGGUUGGGUUUCCUUCCCUAGCGCUUGGGAACUGUCGCAAACUUGACCAUUUAGAGGAAGUAAAAGUUGUAACA